rnacentral:misc_RNA from 1 species
CCCUCCCCUAAAUCACUCCAAAAAACAAUCCCCAAUUCUACACAAGUGUUUCUACACUAACAAAGCAACAGCUCCUUAACGAAUUCCCAACUUUACACGAGCUCGUCUCUCGAGGUUAAAUGUUAUUACUUGGUAAGAUUCCGGACCUCGCCAAGUGUUUUGAAAACCCGCAACGCUCGCAAAGGUGCAUAGUGAGAAUAAUAAGUGAAGAGACAGUCAGACUUGUCCAAAACGCCCACCACGAAGGUGCAUAGUGAGAAGAGUAAGUCAAGAGAUAGACUUGUCCAAAAGAAACGGAAGAGAAAGCUUGGGGAGACGCUCACGAAGGUGCAUAGUGAGAAGAGUAAGUCAAGAGAUAGACUUGUUCAAAAAGAAACAGAAGAGAAUGCUUGGGGUUACACUCACGAAGGUGCAUAGUGAGAAGAGUAAGUCAAGAGACAGACUUGUUCAAAAAGAAACAAAAGAGAAUGCUUGGGGAGAUAGAAGUGUGAGAUAGUUCUCAAGCUAAGAAAGUUGUAAAAGCUAAGAACUAGCAAGUAAUAAUCGUCCAGGAUUCCUCCACCAGGACUUGAAAUCGUCGAGGGAAAAAAAUCGGUCUCCGAGGAAUCGUCGAUCCGGACUUGGAAUCGUCGAGAAAAGUUUACCGGGUCCGAGGAUUUGUCGACCAGGAGUGGAAAUCGUCGAGAAAAUCUAUCGGGUCCGAGGAAUCGUCGACCAGGACGAGGAAUCGUCGACAGUGGUCCGAGGAUUUGUCGACCAGGUGGGUUGAAAUCGUCGACCAGGUCCGAGACUUCAUCGACCGGGUCCGAGGAUUUGUCGAC